UGCGCAGGCGGAAUAUUAAGUCAGUGGUGAAAUCCUACAGCUCAACUGUAGAACUGCCAUUGAAACUGAUAUUCUUGAGUAUAGUUGUAGUGGGCGGAAUAUAUCAUGUAGCGGUGAAAUGCUUAGAUAUGAUAUAGAACACCGAUCGCGAAGGCAGCUCACUAAACUAUAACUGACGUUCAGGCACGAAAGCGUGGGGAGCAAACAGGAUUAGAUACCCUGGUAGUCC
rnacentral:rRNA from 1 species